GCGUGCCGAAGCGUUCGGGAUGUGCCGCGUGCCAGCGGCGCGCGGCGGCAUCAUCGGGUUCGGGGAUGGUGACCUCGGCACGCA
rnacentral:tRNA from 1 species